UUCAGAUUUUCGACUAAGACGAGACCCGAAACGGGUGCUGAUCAAAGUUCAUGUGUGGUUUGUCUUGAAGAGAUAAAGCAAGGGCAGUGGUGUAGAAACCUUGUUGGCUGUGGUCAUGUGUUUCAUAGGAAAUGUGUGGAUGCGUGGCUUGUUAAGGUUUCUGCAUGUCCUAUUUGCAGGACACCAGUUGAAUUGGAUCAGGGCGUAAAAGAUAGGCCACUGUGGGACUUUGUUUGGAGAAAUGAAUUGAAGGUUUGGUAGGAUUUUCUUUUUCUCUAUCUAAUUGUAAGUUCUUGUUAAAUGAUCCCCUCUUCUUUUUUUUGUAUGUACGUUAUUAGAUUUUUGGUUUUAUAAAUAAGCGAAUGGUAACAACUUUCAACUCCAUGUAUUUGAUUUUGAAUUGCAGCAUGCUUGUUCGAUCGAUAAUUCUCUUCAUGAUAUAUGCUCUGUUUUGAAUACGAAAUCUGAUUUUGGUUGUUGGAUUCUUGAUUGUAAGUCAAACGCGACUACUUUGAUCGGUCAGAAAUGAAAGGUUGGUGCUUUUAAGAGGUCAGGGCUCAAUUACUUUCCUUCGAAUUGUCUGUGGAGACCGCAUGAAAGGUUGUCUGUGCUUGAUGAAUUUGUUGGCCAGACUUCGACAUUAUUAGGAAGAAAUCAAUUCUUUUCCAAAUGGAUUUACUUAUUCAUAAUCGAAAUGAACUUAGUGGCUGCAUACAGUAGGAAUUCUGCAAAUUGACGAGGACAAGCUAAAUUUUUAUUUCCCAGUAUAUGAAAUGGUUGCUCAUGAAUAUUUUCUUAACCCGAUCAAAUUAGAGUAACAUUAAAAUCUUUUAACCCCAUUUCAUAACUUCUUAAGCAGCCAAUGAUUACCUCAAUGUAGUGGUAAUAAAACACUACAUUCAUACUUCAACGAAAACUUAUUCCAUUCCAUUAGAGUAAUUGUUGCUUUUAAGCGGCUAUCCACCUGCUCCUAGGAUAUUUCUGUGCUCUUAGUGUUUUGAUCCAAGCAAACAGAAAUACAGAACAGCAAAGAGCUUGGAGUUCAAAAGAAAAAAGAUACCAUCAAUAUAAGCUGCAUAACAUCAAGAAAUUCUUACCAGUCUGCUUCUUUCGUCACCAACGAAUUUUACAACAUCAGAUUAGCUUUUCUUAUACGACGGAAAGCAGCAGCCUUGCAUAUCUUUUGCCGGAGAUAAUCAUCUCUCUCUCUAGUAUUUUUUACUGUUACAUAGUGAAAUUAGAUUUGACUUGAGUACACCUGUUUUGAUUUGAUCUCAUUUCUUCUUAUUUGUUCAUCAUGGUGAUUUCCUUUUGUUGCUGGUUUUUGAAUCUGCUGUUUGGUGCUGGAAUUUGAUUACUGUAAUAGAUAAUUGCCAAUAUGUCGAGCUUGAGCUUGCUUUGUGUUGGUCUUUGUUGUGACUACUCUUGAUCUCUUCUACGAGAUUCUCCUGCUCUGCUUUUUCCUUUUGCUAAACUUAUUGUUUGCCUGGAUUUCGGGUCAUGAUCUAACGUUGUGGCCAGUUGGGAAAACAAUUGCUGGGAAGAGGGUACAAUACGAUACUGUGGUUGAGUAGUGAAAUCACACGCUACAUUGCAUUUCUUUUAUUUUUAGGCAUUAAUGGAUUGGUGCUUGGGGAAUGAUUCUCCUUGCUGUGUUAUGCAUGUUCUUGUGGCCUAAGUCAUAAAUUUCAUUUCUAAGAAUUUAUGGCGGAGUUAAUUGUUGGAAAGGGGAAUCCUUCUUUUCUUGUUGUCACUGCAUAACUUUGAUGUCUAGUUUCCUUUGGUUUCAUGCAAUGAACCUUUGUGGUUCCUUCUCCCUUUACUCAAAUUUGAUUCUUGAUUCUUCCCCAUUUGUAAGUGGCCUUGGCCAAAAAAACUAGUUCAGUGCAGAUCCUUUGAACUGAAGUGCAAAAACUGUAUUAUACCAUACCAUGGCCUCUCAAUAUCAUGUAAAAUCCUGGGAUUUUAGUGCUUGGCGUGCUACUUCAUUGGAUAAAGAUGUUUUUGAUGCUGGUUUAACAAAGACCCUGUCAGGACUUGCCGGAAAUAUAAAAAACACGAUGAUCCUGUUAGGGAACCGCCAGUUUCUUGAAUUUCCAUACAAAAAAUAUCGUCAUAUAAUCUUGAGCUUCGGUUACUACUCCUUUUAAGAAAGAUAUUUGCAGCAUCUAGUUUAUCCCAGUAUUCAAUAUGAUUUGUUAAAAUAAAAAAGGAUUUUGAAAUUUGAUUCUCGAACCAUUAUUCAACAUCACCCUAUAUUUCCUGAAAGAUGGUUGAUAAGGAUGGAAGAAGAAGAGAUAUCAUUUUCUUUGACAAGUGGGACCCAUCAAAACUGGAGCCAUAACCCAUUUAACGGUUGAGGAGCGCCCAUGGUUAUCUGUCUCUCUCUCUCUAUAUUAAAGAACUCUAAAACGCGUGGGGAAAGUACUGUAGCUUUCCCCACGUCUCCUGUGCAUUUUUUUUUUUUUCCACGCCUCAUUACUCAUUAGUUAAUUAAAGAACUCUAAAACGCGUGGGGAAAGUACUGUAGCUUUCCCACGUCUCCUGUGCAUUUUUUUUUUUUUCCACGCCUCACUACUCAUUAGUUAAAUAUCACAAAAAAAAAAAAAAAACCUAAACCUAAGGAUUUUCUUGUGGAGCUGCAGCCCCCUCCUCUCUUUGAAAAAAACCAAACACAGCCGCCUCCCCGGGGUUUGAAUUGUUUCUCCUCACCGGACCGCCCUCUUCAGCUUUUCUCUUCUUCUUCUUCACUGGAGCUCCCCACGGUUCUCCUUCUUCUCGCCAGCCAAACUCAGCCCACGAAGAAGCCGCCACCAUUCAUCAACACAGAGCCACCGACACAGCCCUUAAUUUCACUCCUCUUUCCCCCAUUUUCCUUUAGCCUUUGGACCACAACAGCCCCUUUAGCUUCUCAGUUGCAGGAGCAAAAGGCGAACCGGACGGAGACCAGCCUUCUCCUCCCUCAACAGCAACGGCGAAGCAGCGCCUUCCACUCGAUGUAAAAAAUAUAUUUUUUUUUAUCUGUUUGGUUCGCUGGAAAACGAAUGGACAGGAAAGAAAGUUAAAUUUCUGAAAGUUAUUCCAGUUAGGUUUAUUUGAUCAAUUUAAGAAGAUUAGUUGGUUCUGUUAAAAAUAAUACGCAAAUUAUAUUUAUAUUUUUUAAUUUCGUGUUUUUGCAGGGGGAGUGAAUUUGAUUGGAGAGCAUAUUGAUUAUGAAGGCUACUCGGUGUUGCCAAUGGCAAUAAGGCAAGAUACUAUUAUAGCAAUCCGUAAAAAUUAUGCACAAAAAGUUCUUCGAAUCGCAAAUGUUAAUGACAAAUAUACAGAGUGUACUUAUCCUAUUGACCCUAAUCAGGUCUGAACCAACCUACAACUUCUUCAAUAGUAAUGUAUUCAUUGUUUUCCCGUUGGAUUGAUUGUUAUAUUCUGUAAUAAUUUGCAGGCAAUUGACUUGAAGAAUCAUAAAUGGGGUCAUUAUUUCAUUUGUGGGUAUGAUAUAGAACAGCAAUUUUAAUUGAUUAGUUCUGAAGCUUCUUGUGGUUUUUUCCCCUUUUUUUUCAAUCUUUUUGUGGGUUUCCAGGUAUAAGGGUUUUUAUGAAUUUGCGAAAUCAAAAGGAGUGGAUAUGGGUGACGCGGUUGGACUUGAUGUUAUUGUUGAUGGAACUGUUCCAACAGGUGAAUGAAUUAGAAGUUGAUUUUAGUUAGCUGUUGUUAAUGAUGUGACAUCGCCUGCUCAUUAUAAGAGAAGACUAAGCUGGAGUUUUUUAAUACAGGUUCUGGUUUGUCCAGCUCUGCUGCGUUUGUUUGCUCUGCUACCAUUGCUAUUAUGGCUGCUUUUGAUGUGAACUUUCCAAAGGUAAAACAGUUCUUUCACCAAAUUUAUGAUGAAUAUAAUACCUCAACCACCUCUAAGUUGUUUUAAGGGCGUCUUUUAAUCUUACAACUAGAAGUAGAAAGCACUUCUCCAGUAUUAGGCAUCCAGAAAGCCUUGCUAUACUGUCAAAGUUUUGAAUUUGUUAAUUUUUUACAUUUCGCUGGUGUUAUCUACACUUUUUUCUUGGAAGAGAUUGAUAAUAAAAAAGGGGAUGUGUGUGUUGGUGUAUUUUUAUUUAUUUAUUUUGAAUUUGUAUUUGUAUUUGUAUUUGUAUUGUGGAUGUGAAAGAAAAGAAAAGAAAAGAAAAGAAAAAAGAAAAGAAAAAGAAAAGAAAUGAAAAUAGUGAAUGGGUGUGUUUGUAUUUUGUGUUAUUUAUUUGUAUUAUUAUUAUUAUUAUAUUAUAUUAUUCCUAAGCAUCAGUGAAUGAAAGUUUUUUUUUUUUCACGCCUCACUUUACUCAUUAUUAAUAUAUUAUUAUUAUAUUAUAUUAUAUUAUUUAAUUGUCUUAUUGUUUUUCGUUUUUUUUUUUUUGUUUUUUUGAUGAAUUUUUUUGUUUGAUUUAGUUUGUUGGUAUUAAAUUUUUUCUAUUUAAUUAUCAGAUUUUCAUAACAUGUAUCCUGACUUGACGGGUUAACUUGGUUUGAUGGGUUGACUCAGUUAGCUUUAGGUAAACCCGUUAAUUUUUUCAUUUAUUUAGUUAUCAAACUUUCAUGAUGCGAAUUCCAGAUUUGACGGGUUAAUCCAGUUAAUUAAUUUUAUUUUUUUUCAUUAGUUUUUUUUUCUGUUAGUUUUUUUUUGUUUUUUUUUGUUUUUAAUCAAUCUAUUUAAUUAUCACACUUAUAUGACACGACCUUGCAGCCAGACCUACAUCCAAGACUAUUGGAUCUUAUAUUGCAGCCACCCCCACUUAAACUUGGGUCAUGCAAGUUUAAUAUUAUAAAUAUUAUUUUUAGGUCAAGUGUUGCAGCCAAACUCAAGAAUCUUGGGUUUUGCUGCAACGCCUGACCUAAGAGUAAUAUUUAUAAUAUUAAUAAUAAAAUUAAACUUGCAUGACCCAAGUUUAAGUGAGCCUCACUGUAACACCGGACCCAGGAAUAUUGGAUGUGGGUCUGGCUAUAAGGUCGUGUCAUAAAAGUGUGAUAAUUAAAUAGAUUAAUUAAAAAAAACAAAGAAAAAAAAUCAACUGAAAGAGAAAAACUAAUGAAGAAAAAGAAAAAGAAAUUAAAUUAAUUGGGUUAACCCUUUAAACCAAGUUAUCCCGUAAAACCUGGAUUUGCGUCAUGAAAGUUUGAUAACUAAAUAGAAUUUAAUUUUUUUUAAUGAAUUUUUUUGUUUGAUUUAGUUUGUUAAUGUUAAAUUUUUUUAUUUAGUUAUCAGAUUUUCAUGAUACGGAUCUCGAGUUUGAUGGGUUGACCUGAUUUGACGAGUUAUUUUUUUCAUUUAGUUUAGUUUGUUAAAGUUAAUUUUCUUUCUAUUUAGUUAUCAGACUUCCAUACUUUCAUGAUACGUAUCCUGAGCUUGACAGAUUAACUUGGUUUGAUGGGUUAACCCAAUUAAUUCUGGGUAAACCCGUCAUUUUUUUUCUAUUUAGUUAUCAAACUUUCAUUACGCAAAUCUCAGGUUUUACGGGAUAACCUGGUUUAAAGGGUUAACCCAAUUAAUUAUUUUUUUUUUCUUUUUCUUCAUUAGUUUUUUCCUUUCUGUUGAUUUUUUUCUUUGUUUUUUUUAAUUAGUUUAUUUAAUUAUUACAUUUUUAUAACACGACCUUAUAGCCAGACCCACAUCCAAAAUUCUUGAGUCCGGUGUUGCAAUUAGCUCACUUAAACUUGGGUCAUGCAAGUUUAAUUUUAUUAUUAAUAUUAUAAAUAUUACUUUUAGAUCAGGCGUUGCAGCCAAACCCAAGAUUUUUUAUUUUUUAUUUUUUUUUAUAUUUUUAUACAAAAAAAAAGACCCGCGGCAUAGCGCGGGUACCAAGGCUAGUAUAUAUAUAUAUAUGGUGGCAGAUCUUGAAGGGACAGGUGACCGGUAGCCCCCAAGGUUUUGACUAACAUUACACUUUGGGCCCUGUGCUGUUAAGAGAUUGCAAUUUUAUUUUUAUAUUGAGUAAAUUUAUUUAAUCAGUUUUCUUCAUCUUACAUUGAUCCUUGAUUUUUAAUAAUAUAAUUCAUGUGUUUUUAUGGGGUGAAAUCUCUUAAAUUACUCGACAAGUCAAUAUAUAUUUAUAUAGGUAACGCCUUUAAAUUAUUCAACAAGUUAACAUAUAGGAUGGAAGAAACUAUUGUUUUCAAUAAAAACAUCUACUAAAAUAUUUAAAACAAAUUAAAAUGUAUCCAAAAUAUUGUUUGAUCUGAAUAAAAAUUUUAUUUAGAUUAUUACAUGUGGUUUAUAGAAAAAACGACCAAUUUGUAGAUAAAUUAUAUUGAUAAAAAAUAAAACAAAUAAUAUCAUACUAUUGAUCUUGUCACUCGAAAGCAUAACCCAUCACUAAAUAUGUGUGUACACGACCAUACAUAUACAUGUAUUCCUUAAAAGUUUGCACAAGUUAUUUAAUCAACUUUAGAGUUGAAAUUAUAUUCUUGGCGAACUCUAGAUUUUUUUUUUAACAUUUUAAAGAAUAUAAAAAGGUUAAAAAAAUAAUUUUUUAAACUUAUAACCUGUUAAAUGCUAAAUGUGAACUCCAUCAGGAUUAACAAUAACUUUGUUGCAACAACCAAUUAUAUUUUAAAAAAAUGCAGUGAACGAAAUAAUUGGUUAUUAACGAUUAAAGUAUAUUGACCGUAGGGAAUUCGCUAUAAAGUUUCUCUUUAUUAUUAUCAUUAUUAUUAUUAUUAUUAUUAAAGAUGAGUAAAAAAACUAAAAUAUUGAUUAAAUCAAGAAAAAAAAUUAAAUAAAAUAAUCAAAUUGAUUAAAAUAUUUUUAAAAAACCAACCGGUUCGAUUUGGUUUUGAUUUUAUAAGUAUGAAAUUGAAAAAACCAAACUGAAUCCAAACUAAAAAAACCGAGUUAAAUCGAAAACAACCGAGUCAAAUUGAUCCAAACUAAAAAAACCGGGUUAAACCGGUUUGAACCAAUUUUUGUCCUAAAAAACAAACCGAAGCGGGUCGGUUUGAACCGAUUUCUGUUUUUUUUAAAAAAAAAUUUGGUUUAAUUACUUUUUUAUAUAUAUAAAAACUAAACCAAAUAAAAAAUAAUCACUUCUUAUUAUUAUUCUCAUCCAACUAAACUAAACAAUUUGAAUUCUAUUUGUGUUGUUUUAUGCAUAAAACGACGAGGACGACGACGACAGCAUAGCAAUCUAUCCAUCCAUUGGUAUAUUCGACCAAGAGUGCAUAUUUUAAAUAACAAAACCGUGCCGUCUUAAGGAAAUAUCUGAUGCUUUCUAUUAAAAAUCAUGAAGAUUUUAGAAAGAUAAUUCAAGACAAGAACGCCCUGUUACAAUUCUAUGGGUCUACGGAUACAAUAACCUAGCGUUUUCUUGUCGUUUUGUUUUUUCUUAUGACAAGGACUGUUGUAAAGGAACCUAACUCCUACCUACCUAGCUAGGUCCGUCUCAUCCACUGCAGAAGAAACUACACGUAGGUUUUGCGUGAGAAUGGUGACAGAUCCUCCGCGUAAACCAGCAUCGUGCGAACACAAUGCGACAUCACAUCGGCAUUCUAACUACAGCCGCCCUUUUCUACCCAUAGAAAGAAGAAUGUGGAAUAAUAAAAAACGCACUCCGCUUUCUUCUCCUCUCGUAUUCUAUAAAUUGGACCCCAUUUUUGGAGUCACACCAAAAACCUUUUCAGUCUGACCAUUUCCUUUUCGUUCAUUAACUUCAAUCUGUAACCAUGUCUCCUCCUCCUCCUCAUCACGACGGUGGUGCACCACCAAAAACAAACCGGAAGUUUAUUUUUCUUGUCCUGAAAGCCAUAGUAAUGAUCGCGAUAACCAUCCUUUUUUUCGUACUCCUUGGUGUUGCCGCCAUCCUCCUCCUCAUUCCCACCGCCGCACUCCACCGCCACUCGACUCCAUCCUCCAAUCCCCCAAAGGGGUUGCCUCUCAGAGACUUAAAGAAGCUCCCAAGAUUCAGAUUCUCGACUAACACGACGCCUGAAACGGCUGCUGAUCAAAGUUCGUGUGUGGUUUGUCUUGAAGAUAUAAAGCAAGGGCAGUGGUGUAGAAACCUUGUUGGCUGUGGUCAUGUCUUGCAUAUGAAAUGUGUGGAUAGUUGGCUUGUUAAGGUUUCUGCGUGUCCUAUUUGCAGGACAAGAGUUGAAUUUGAUC
rnacentral:lncRNA from 1 species